AUUGAACGCUGGCGGCACGCCUAACACAUGCAAGUCGAGCGAGCGGCGGACGGGUGAGUAAUGUCUGGGAAACUGCCUGAUGGAGGGGGAUAACUACUGGAAACGGUAGCUAAUACCGCAUACCAUCAGAUGUGCCCAGAUGGGAUUAGCUAGUAGGUGGGGUAAGGGCUCACCUAGGCGACGAUCCCUAGCUGGUCUGAGAGGAUGACCAGCCACACUGGAACUGUGCCACGGUCCAGCCUCCUACGGGAGGCAGCAUUGGGUAAUUUUGCACAUUGGGCGCAAGCCUGAUGCAGCCAUGCCGCGUGUGUGAAGAAGGCCUUCGGGUUGUAAAGCACUUUCAGCGGGGAGGCGUUACCCGCAGAAGAAGCACCGGCUAACUCCGUGCCAGCAGCCGCGGUAAUUC
rnacentral:rRNA from 1 species